UACGUAGGGGGCAAGCGUUGUCCGGAAUCAUUGGGCGUAAAGAGCGUGUAGGCGGCUCGAUAAGUCCGCUGUGAAAGUCCAGGGCUCAACCCUGGAAGGCCGGUGGAAACUGUCGGGCUAGAGUCCGGAAGAGGCGAGUGGAAUUCCCGGUGUAGCGGUGAAAUGCGCAGAUAUCGGGAGGAACACCUGCGGCGAAGGCGGGUUGCUGGGCUGACACUGACGCUGAAGCGCGAAAGCUAGGGGAGCGAACGGG
rnacentral:rRNA from 1 species